GGGGCUGGGGCUCAGUGGUAGAGCUCUCGCCUAGCAUGUGUGAGGCCCUGGGUUCAAUCCUCAGCACCA
rnacentral:tRNA from 1 species